rnacentral:rRNA from 1 species
UUCGGACGGGGGGUAUAACGCGUGAGAAUCUGGCUUCAGGUCUGGGACAACCACUGGAAACGGUGGCUAAUACCGGAUGUGCCGAGAGGUGAAAGAUUAAUUGCCUGAAGAUGAGCUCGGUCUGAUUAGCUAGUAGGUGUGGUAAAGGCGCACCUAGGCGACGAUCAGUAGCUGGUCUGAGAGGACGAUCAGCCACACUGGGACUGAGACACGGCCCAGACUCCUACGGGAGGCAGCAGUGGGGAAUUUUCCGCAAUGGGCGAAAGCCUGACGGAGCAAUACCGCGUGAGGGAGGAAGGCUCUUGGUCGUAAACCUCUUUUCUCAGGGAAGAACACAAUGACGGUACCUGAGGAAUAAGCAUCGGCUAACUCCGUGCCAGCAGCCGCGGUAAUACGGAGGAUGCAAGCGUUAUCCGGAAUGAUUGGGCGUAAAGCGUCCGCAGGUGGCUAUGUAAGUCUGCUGUUAAAGAGUCUAGCUCAACUAGAUAAGAGCAGUGGAAACUACAUGGCUAGAGUGCGUUCGGGGCAGAGGGAAUUCCUGGUGUAGCGGUGAAAUGCGUAGAGAUCAGGAAGAACACCGGUGGCGAAGGCGCUCUGCUAGGCCGCAACUGACACUGAGACGAACGCUAGGGGAGCGAAUGGGAUUAGAUACCCCGAUUCCACGCGUUAUCA